rnacentral:rRNA from 1 species
GCCUCGCCUGUUUACCAAAAACAUCGCCUCUUGUAAAUCUUAAAAUAAGAGGUCCAGCCUGCCCAAGGACUAUGUGUUUAAUGGCUGCGGUAUUCUGACCGUGCGAAGGUAGCGUGAUCACUCGUCUUUUAAAUAGAGACCUGUAUGAAUGGUUAAACGAGGGCUUAGCUGUCUCCUUUUUCAUGUCAAUGAAAUUGAUAUUCCCGUGCAAAAGCGGGGAUUAAAACAUAAGACGAGAAGACCCUGUGAAGCUUUAGAUUAUAGGACAGACUGGGCUGAUAACCCCUAAUAAAGGGCUAAGCUAUUAACCCCUGUUCUAGUGUCUUUGGUUGGGGCGACCACGGGGAGAUAUAUAGCCCCCGCGUGGACUGGGUGCGAGAGUGUUUUGUGCCUAAAGCUAAGAGCUUCCGCUCUAGUAAGCAGAAUUUCUGACCUCAUAAGAUCCGGCAAUGCCGAUCAACGGACUAAGUUACUCCAGGGGUAACAGCGCCAUCCUCUUUGAGAGCCCAUAUCGACAAGGGGGUUUACGACCUCGAUGUUGGAUCAGGACAUCCUAAUGGUGCAGCCGCUAUUAAGGGUUCGUUUGUUCAACGAUUAAUAGUCCUACGUGAUCUGAGUUCAAGACCGG